GAUUGAACGCUGGCGGCAGGCCUAACACAUGCAAGUCGAGCGGAUGAAGGGAGCUUGCUCCUGGAUUCAGCGGCGGACGGGUGAGUAAUGCCUAGGAAUCUGCCUGGUAGUGGGGGAUAACGUCCGGAAACGGGCGCUAAUACCGCCUACGUCCUGAGGGAGAAAGUGGGGGAUCUUCGGACCUCACGCUAUCAGAUGAGCCUAGGUCGGAUUAGCUAGUUGGUGGGGUAAAGGCCUACCAAGGCGACGAUCCGUAACUGGUCUGAGAGGAUGAUCGGUCACACUGGAACUGAGACACGGUCCAGACUCCUACGGGAGGCAGCAGUGGGGAAUAUUGGACAAUGGGCGAAAGCCUGAUCCAGCCAUGCCGCGUGUGUGAAGAAGGUCUUCGGAUUGUAAAGCACUUUAAGUUGGGAGGAAGGGCAGUAAGUUAAUACUUUGCUGUUUUGACGUUACCAACAGAAUAAGCACCGGCUAACUUCGUG
rnacentral:rRNA from 1 species